UCACAUGAGACAGAACUCAUGACAAGGC
rnacentral:sRNA from 1 species